rnacentral:rRNA from 1 species
GAUGAACGCUAGCGGCAGGCUUAAUACAUGCAAGACGAACGGUAACUGUUGUAGCAAUACAAUAGCUAGAGUGUCGUACGGGUGCGUAACACGUAUGCAACCUACCUUGUACAGGCGGAUAGCUCGGGGAAACUCGAAUUAACCCGCCAUGAGAUCAUAGUGUGGCAUCACAUAGUGAUUAAAACUCAGGUGGUACAAGAUGGGCAUGCGUCUGAUUAGUUAGUUGGCAGUGUAAAGGACUACCAAGACGAUGAUCA